AUACGGAAGGUCCGGGCGUUAUCCGGAUUUAUUGGGUUUAAAGGGAGCGCAGGCGGAGAUGCAAGCGUGACGUCAAAUUUCGGGGCUCAACCCCGUCUCGCGUCGCGAACUGCGUCCCUUGGUUGCGGGAAGGGGAGGCGGCAUCCGUGGGGUAGCGGUGAAAUGCAUAGAUAUAACGAAGAACUCCGAUCGCGAAGGCAGCCUUCCGGCCCGUCAACGACGCUCAUGCUCGAAGGUGCGGGUAUCAAACAGGAUUAGAUACCCUGGUAGUCCGCACAGUAAACGAUGGACACCCGCGGUUUGGCCUGUAUGGCUGAGCCGCCAAGCGAAAGCGUUAAGUGUCCCACCUGGGGAGUACGCCGGCAACGGUGAAACUCAAAUGAAUUGGCGGGG
rnacentral:rRNA from 1 species